rnacentral:rRNA from 1 species
UACGGAGGGUGCGAGCGUUAAUCGGAAUUACUGGGCGUAAAGUGUGCGUAGGUGGUUGAAUAAGUUAUCUGUGAAAUCCCCGGGCUCAACCUGGGCAGGUCAGAUAAGACUGUUUAACUCGAGUAUGGGAGAGGGUAGUGGAAUUUCCGGUGUAGCGGUGAAAUGCGUAGAGAUCGGAAGGAACACCAGUGGCGAAGGCGGCUACCUGGCCUAAUACUGACGUUGAGGCACGAAAGCAUGGGGAGCAAACAGG